rnacentral:rRNA from 1 species
AAUCAACGCUGGCGGCGUGCCUCAGACAUGCAAGUCGAACGAUUAAAGCUCUCUUCGGAGAGUGUAUAGAGUGGCGCACGGGUGAGUAACACGUAAGUAAUCUACCUUUGAGUGGGGAAUAACAGUCGGAAACGACUGCUAAUACCGCAUAAUGCAGCGGCACCGCGAGGUGACAGUUGUUAAAGGAGCAAUUCGCUUAAAGAGGAGCUUGCGGCAGAUUAGCUUGUUGGUAAGGUAACGGCUUACCAAGGCUACGAUCUGUAUCCGGUCUUAGAGGACGGUCGGACACACUGACACUGAAUAACGGGUCAGACUCCUACGGGAGGCAGCAGUCGGGUAAGUUUUGGG